rnacentral:rRNA from 1 species
GAUGUACGCUGGCGGCGUGCCUAAUACAUGCAAGUCGAGCGAACGGACGAGAAGCUUGCUUCUCUGAUGUUAGCGGCGGACGGGUGAGUAACACGUGGAUAACCUACCUAUAAGACUGGGAUAACUUCGGGAAACCGGAGCUAAUACCGGAUAAUAUUAUGAACCGCAUGGUUCAAAAGUGAAAGACGGUCUUGCUGUCACUUAUAGAUGGAUCCGCGCUGCAUUAGCUAGUUGGUAAGGUAACGGCUUACCAAGGCAACGAUGCAUAGCCGACCUGAGAGGGUGAUCGGCCACACUGGAACUGAGACACGGUCCAGACUCCUACGGGAGGCAGCAGUAGGGAAUCUUCCGCAAUGGGCGAAAGCCUGACGGAGCAACGCCGCGUGAGUGAUGAAGGUCUUCGGAUCGUAAAACUCUGUUAUUAGGGAAGAACAUAUGUGUAAGUAACUGUGCACAUCUUGACGGUACCUAAUCAGAAAGCCACGGCUAACUACGUG